rnacentral:rRNA from 1 species
GACGAACGCUGGCGGCGUGCUUAACACAUGCAAGUCGAGCGGAAAGGCUCCUUCGGGGGUACUCGAGCGGCGAACGGGUGAGUAACACGUGAGUAAUCUGCCCUGCGCUCUGGGAUAGCCACCGGAAACGGUGAUUAAUACCGGAUAUGACCGCUACACGCAUGUGUUGGUGGUGGAAAGUUUUUCGGCGCAGGAUGUGCUCGCGGCCUAUCAGCUUGUUGGUGAGGUAAUGGCUCACCAAGGCUUUGACGGGUAGCCGGCCUGAGAGGGUGACCGGUCACACUGGGACUGAGACACGGCCCAGACUCCUAUGGGAGGCAGCAGUGGGGAAUAUUGGACAAUGGGCGGAGGCCUGAUCCAGCAACGCCGCGUGAGGGAUGACGGCCUUCGGGUUGUAAACCUCUUUCAGUACCGACGAAGCGAAAGUGACGGUAGGUACAGAAGAAGGACCGGCCAACUACGUGCCAGCCGCCGCUGUAACAC